AUUUGACGUUAGCGACAGAAGAAGCACCGGCUAACUCCGUGCCAGCAGCCGCGGUAAUACGGAGGGUGCGAGCGUUAAUCGGAAUUACUGGGCGUAAAGCGCAUGCAGGUGGUUUGUUAAGUCAGAUGUGAAAGCCCGGGGCUCAACCUCGGAAUUGCAUUUGAAACUGGCAGACUAGAGUACUGUAGAGGGGGGUAGAAUUUCAGGUGUAGCGGUGAAAUGCGUAGAGAUCUGAAGGAAUACCGGUGGCGAA
rnacentral:rRNA from 1 species